GUAGGGAAUCUUCCACAAUGGACGAAAGUCUGAUGGAGCAACGCCGCGUGAGUGAAGAAGGUCUUCGGAUCGUAAAACUCUGUUGUUAGAGAAGAACGUGCAUGAUAGUAACUGAUCAUGUAAUGACGGUAUCUAACCAGAAAGCCACGGCUAACUACGUGCUAGCAGCCGCGGUAAUACGUAGGUGGCAAGCGUUGUCCGGAUUUAUUGGGCGUAAAGGGAACGCAGGCGGUUUUUUAAGUCGGAUGUGAAAGCCUUCGGCUUAACCGAAGAAUAGCAUUGGAAACUGGAAGACUUGAGUGCAGAAGAGGAGGGUGGAAUUCCAUGUGUAGCGGUGAAAUGCGUAGAUAUAUGGAGGAACACCAGUGGCGAAAGCGGCUCUCUGGUCUGUAACUGACGCUGAGGUUCGAAAGCGUGGGUAGCAAACAGGAUUAGAAACCCUGGUAGUCC
rnacentral:rRNA from 1 species